rnacentral:rRNA from 1 species
AUUGAACGCUGGCGGCAGGCCUAACACAUGCAAGUCGAGCGAGCGGCGGACGGGUGAGUAAUGUAUGGGGAUCUGCCCGAUAGAGGGGGAUAACUACUGGAAACGGUAGCUAAUACCGCAUACUAUCAGAUGAACCCAUAUGGGAUUAGCUAGUAGGUGAGGUAAUGGCUCACCUAGUCGACGAUCCCUAGCUGGUCUGAGAGGAUGAUCAGCAACACUGGAACUGAGACACGGCCCAGACUCCUACGGGAGGCAGCAGUGGGGAAUAGUGCACAAUGGGCGCAAGCCUGAUGCAGCCAUCCCGCGUGUAUGAUGAAGGCCUUCGGGUUGUAAAGUACUUUUGGCAGAGAAGCGUUAUCCGCAGAAGAAGCACCGGCUAACUACGUGCCAGCAGCCGCGGUAAUUC